GGGGUGGUGGUGUAGCCAGGUUCAACACAUCAGACUGUCAAUCUGAAGAUCGCGGGUUCAAAUCCCGUUCACCCCG
rnacentral:tRNA from 1 species